UGGACUGGUGAACAUGAUGUGCCACUAGGC
rnacentral:piRNA from 1 species